rnacentral:misc_RNA from 1 species
UCUCCGUUGGUGAACCAGCGGAGGGAUCAUUACUGAGUGUUACAACUCCCAAACCCUUUGUGAACCUACCCUGUUUCCUCGGCGGCCCCGACGCGGGCCGCCGGGGGCACCAAACUCUGGCUUCUUUCAGUGGUAUUCUCUCUGAGUGGCACAAGCUAAAAAAUAAUCAAAACUUUCAACAACGGAUCUCUUGGUUCUG